AUUGAACGCUGGCGGCAUGCUUUACACAUGCAAGUCGAACGGCAGCACGGGCUUCGGCCUGGUGGCGAGUGGCGAACGGGUGAGUAAUAUAUCGGAACGUACCCAAGAGUGGGGGAUAACGUAGCGAAAGUUACGCUAAUACCGCAUACGAUCUAAGGAUGAAAGCGGGGGAUCGCAAGACCUCGUGCUCCUGGAGCGGCCGAUAUCUGAUUAGCUAGUUGGUGAGGUAAAGGCUCACCAAGGCGACGAUCAGUAGCUGGUCUGAGAGGACGACCAGCCACACUGGAACUGAGACACGGUCCAGACUCCUACGGGAGGCAGCAGUGGGGAAUUUUGGACAAUGGGCGCAAGCCUGAUCCAGCAAUGCCGCGUGAGUGAAGAAGGCCUUCGGGUUGUAAAGCUCUUUUGUCAGGGAAGAAACGGUAGGGGCUAAUAUCCCUUGCUAAUGACGGUACCUGAAGAAUAAGCACCGGCUAACUACGUGCCAGCCGCCGCAGUAAUAC
rnacentral:rRNA from 1 species